rnacentral:rRNA from 1 species
GCAAGUCGAGCGGAUGACGGGAGCUUGCUCCUUGAUUCAGCGGCGGACGGGCGAUUAAUGCCUAGGAAUCUGCCUGGUAGUGGGGGACAACGUUUCGAAAGGAACGCUAAUACCGCAUACGUCCUACGGGAGAAAGCAGGGGACCUUCGGGCCUUGCGCUAUCAGAUGAGCCUAGGUCGGAUUAGCUAGUUGGUGGGGUAAUGGCUCACCAAGGCGACGAUCCGUAACUGGUCUGAGAGGAUGAUCAGUCACACUGGAACUGAGACACGGUCCAGACUCCUACGGGAGGCAGCAGUGGGGAAUAUUGGACAAUGGGCGAAAGCCUGAUCCAGCCAUGCCGCGUGUGUGAAGAAGGUCUUCGGAUUGUAAAGCACUUUAAGUUGGGAGGAAGGGCAGUAAGUUAAUACCUUGCUGUUUUGACGUUACCGACAGAAUAAGCACCGGCUAACUCUGUGCCAGCAGCCGCGGUAAUACAGAGGGUGCAAGCGUUAAUCGGAAUUACUGGGCGUAAAGCGCGCGUAGGUGGUUUGUUAAGUUGGAUGUGAAAGCCCCGGGCUCAACCUGGGAACUGCAUCCAAAACUGGCAAGCUAGAGUACGGUAGAGGGUGGUGGAAUUUCCUGUGUAGCGGUGAAAUGCGUAGAUAUAGGAAGGAACACCAGUGGCGAAGGCGACCACCUGGACUGAUACUGACACUGAGGUGCGAAAGCGUGGGGAGCAAACAGGAUUAGAUACCCUGGUAGUCCACGCCGUAAACGAUGUCAACUAGCCGUUGGAAUCCUUGAGAUUUUAGUGGCGCAGCUAACGCAUUAAGUUGACCGCCUGGGGAGUACGGCCGCAAGGUUAAAACUCAAGUGAAUUGACGGGGGGCCCGCACAAGCGGUGGAGCAUGUGGU